UACGAAGGGGGCUAGCGUUGUUCGGAAUUACUGGGCGUAAAGCGCACGUAGGCGGAUAUUUAAGUCGGGGGUGAAAUCCCGGGGCUCAACCCCGGAACUGCCUUCGAUACUGGGUAUCUUGAGUUCGGAAGAGGUGAGUGGAAUUGCGAGUGUAGAGGUGAAAUUCGUAGAUAUUCGCAGGAACACCAGUGGCGAAGGCGGCUCACUGGUCCGAUACUGACGCUGAGACGCGAAAGCGUGGGGAGCAAACAGG
rnacentral:rRNA from 1 species